rnacentral:rRNA from 1 species
GACGAACGCUGGCGGCGUGCUUAACACAUGCAAGUCGAGCGGUAAAGGCCCUUUCGGGGGUACACGAGCGGCGAACGGGUGAGUAACACGUGGGUGACCUGCCCUCAGCUCUGGGAUAAGCCUGGGAAACCGGGUCUAAUACCGGAUAUGACUCCAUGACGCAUGUUGUGGGGUGAAAGCCUUGUGCGGCUGAGGAUGGGCCCGCGGCCUAUCAGCUUGUUGGUGGGGUGAUGGCCUACCAAGGCGACGACGGGUAGCCGGCCUGAGAGGGCGACCGGCCACACUGGGACUGACGAC